AUUGAACGCUGGCGGCAGGCCUAACACAUGCAAGUCGAACGAGUGGCGGACGGGUGAGUAAUGUCUGGGCAACUGCCUGAUGGAGGGGGAUAACUACUGGAAACGGUAGCUAAUACCGCAUACCAUCGGAUGUGCCCAGAUGGGAUUAGCUAGGAGGGGGGGUAAAGGCUCACCUAGGCGACGAAUCCUAGCUGGUCUGAGAGGAUGACCAGCCACACUGGAACUGAGACACGGUCCAGACUCGUACGGGAGGCAGCAGUGGGGAAUAUUGCACAAUGGGCGAAAGCCUGAUGCAGCCAUGCCGCGUGUAUGAAGAAGGCCUUCGGGUUGUAAAGUACUUUCAGCGGGGAGGCGUUACCCGCAGAAGAAGCACCGGCUAACUCCGUGCCAGCAGCCGCGGUAAUAC
rnacentral:rRNA from 1 species